GACGAACGCUGGCGGCGCGCCUAACACAUGCAAGUCGAACGGAGCUGCGAGAAGCUUGCUUUUCUUAGCUUAGUGGCGAACGGGUGAGUAACGCGUGAGUAACCUGCCCUGGAGUGGGGGACAGCAGUUGGAAACGACUGCUAAUACCGCAUAAGCCCACGAUCCGGCAUCGGAUUGAGGGAAAAGGAUUUAUUCGCUUCAGGAUGGACUCGCGUCCAAUUAGCUAGUUGGUGAGGUAACGGCCCACCAAGGCGACGAUUGGUAGCCGGACUGAGAGGUUGAACGGCCACAUUGGGACUGAGACACGGCCCAGACUCCUACGGGAGGCAGCAGUGGGGGAUAUUGCACAAUGGGGGAAACCCUGAUGCAGCGACGCCGCGUGGAGGAAGAAGGUUUUCGGAUUGUAAACUCCUGUCGUUAGGGACGAUAAUGACGGUACCUAACAAGAAAGCACCGGCUAACUACGUG
rnacentral:rRNA from 1 species